AGUGAACGCUGGCGGCAGGCCUAACACAUGCAAGUCGAACGGCAGCACAGUAAGAGCUUGCUCUUAUGGGUGGCGAGUGGCGGACGGGUGAGGAAUACAUCGGAAUCUACUCUUUCGUGGGGGAUAACGUAGGGAAACUUACGCUAAUACCGCAUACGACCUACGGGUGAAAGCGGAGGACCUUCGGGCUUCGCGCGAUUGAAUGAGCCGAUGUCGGAUUAGCUAGUUGGCGGGGUAAAGGCCCACCAAGGCGACGAUCCGUAGCUGGUCUGAGAGGAUGAUCAGCCACACUGGAACUGAGACACGGUCCAGACUCCUACGGGAGGCAGCAGUGGGGAAUAUUGGACAAUGGGCGCAAGCCUGAUCCAGCCAUGCCGCGUGGGUGAAGAAGGCCUUCGGGUUGUAAAGCCCUUUUGUUGGGAAAGAAAAGCAG
rnacentral:rRNA from 1 species